UCGUGGGAUGAGCUGUGGUUAGGGGUGAAAUGCCAAUCGAACUCGGAGCUAGCUGGUUCUCCCCGAAAUGCGUUGAGGCGCAGCGGUUGACGAGCCAUGAGCUGUCUAGGGGUAAAGCACUGUAUCGGUGCGGGCUGCGAGAGCGGUACCAAAUCGUAGCAAACUAAGAAUACUAGGCAUGUCUUUCCGUCAACCAGUGAGACAGUGGGGGAUAAGCUCCAUUGUCAAGAGGGAAACAGCCCAGAUCACCAGCUAAGGCCCCUGAAUGAUCGCUAAGUGGAAAAGGAGGUGAGAAUGCCGAAACAGCCAGAAGGUUUGCUUAGAAGCAGCCAUCCUUUAAAGAGUGCGUAAUAGCUCACUGGUGGAGCGUUCUUGCGCCGAAAAUUUACGGGACUAAGCGAUCUGCCGAAGCUGUGGGAUACCGGCACAAAGAGCUGGUAUCGGUAGGGGAGCGUUCCGCCUUAGGGU
rnacentral:rRNA from 2 species